CCUGCAAGCAGCCGUAAAAUGCACGCGAUAGUGGUUUCAGCUAAAGCACUAGGCCGAGGUAAGUGCGUGACAUGAGGACAUGCUCAUUGCUGCACUGCCUUCCAACCAGGCGUCCCGCAGGUGUUUUGCAGCAGUGGGUCCACAGGCCGAGUUCACCUCUCACAACAACAGCUCUGAUGCCAAAUAUCCUCAGCAGCUAAACAGCUGGGUGACAGUUGAUCCCUUAAGAUCAUAAACCCACGGCUCAACAAAAACAAAUUCAACAAGCCAAGCUGGCCUUUCCCUGCGAUAGGAAUUCCAGAAAUGUCGGCAAUUCCUCAGUGGGAAGUUGGUGGUUUGUGUGCAGGGGGGUGUUAGGAAAGGAGCCAGGAGAAACUAAAGGAAGCUGAGUUAAGAACGAGAGCAGAGAUUAUCCAUUGCUCUGUUUUUGCAGUAAGCGAGGUGCCAAUGGAUAUUAACAACAUCAACAACAAGCCAUAACCAUGCAGCAGAAUCUAAUUGCAGGCCUACAGUGCACAGCCGUCUAUUACAGUGAACACUCCUAUUGCUUCCUGGUACCUUCCAGUGAAUGGCUUCAACACUGAGACCAUGAACCGUGGCCAAUUUUUUCCUUUCUUCUUAGACUAUAACUUUGGUAAACCCUUCUGUUGCUUUCUGGUACCAUCUAGUGGAUGGUAUGAACACUGCAGCUGCUUUGUUCUCCAGCACAAACAAGCUUCUCGCACUGCAGUGCAUCCAGAAACAUCUCCAAAAAAUUCUUCUCAUCCUUUGUAUAAAAAUCUUAAAUAUCUGUAUUCCUUGACAUUUUAAUUAAAUAAGUAGUAGAUCAAUUCCCUA